rnacentral:lncRNA from 1 species
CACAAGUCAAAAUUUUCAUUAAGAACUCAGUAGUCUUUCACAGAAGGGAAUCUGAGAAUUCUUCCACUCAUGAGUAAUGUGUUAAAGAAUGAGAAAAGAGCAUGUUUUCCUUGGCUUUUGGAUUAAUACAAUAAAGCCUGUGAAGUUUAACAUAAUUAAAUUAAUGUUGAUAUGCAGUGUGACUUGUUCACAGAGAAAUGGUAUUUGACUUAGAGCUAAUGCCACAUCACAGCUGACAUACAUCCAUCUGCAAAUGUUGUAUAGAAAGUCUUCUAAGAUCUUCAGACUGAUGUGUUUAUUUAUGAAAGAAGAAGAAGGAGCCUCUGGAUUUAAAGUCAAAUCCACACAUCUGGACAUUCUUGUGCAUCAACUCGAAUCAACUGGUGAAGGGGGACAAGUGGGUGUUGGAA